rnacentral:rRNA from 1 species
AUGGAGCAAUGGGCGUACUACCUCUGCCUCUUCUUGGCUCUCCUCCUCCCUCUCCUGCUCCUCAACCUCAGGCUCAACACCAAGCGUCCCGGCGUGCGUCUGCCACCAGGCCCAUGGCGGCUGCCGGUCAUCGGCAGCCUGCACCACCUCGCCGGUAACCCGCUCGUGCACCGUGUCAUGGCCGACCUCGCGGGCCGGCUGGACGCGCCGCUCAUGUACCUCAAGCUCGGGGAGGUGCCGGUCGUGGUGGCCACGUCCCCGGAGGCCGCCCGCGAGAUCAUGCGGACGCACGACGUCGUCUUUGCGACACGGCCUUGGAGCCCCACCAUGAAGAUCAUGAACUCCGAAGGGGAAGGGCUGGUAUUCGCACGCUACGGCACCCCGUGGCGGCAGCUCCGCAAGAUCUGCAUCCUGGAGCUUCUCAGCGCGCGCCGCGUGCAGUCGUUCCGCCACAUCAGGGAGGACGAGGUCGGCCGCCUCGUGGCCGCCGUCGCGGGGGUGCCGCCUGGGGAGCCAGUGAACUUGAGCGAGCGGAUCGCCGUGCUCAUCACCGACUCGGCGGUGCGCGCCAUGAUCGGGGACAGGUUCAAGAGGCGGGAGGAGUUCUUGCAGACGCUCGAGGAAGGGGUCAAGCUCGCCACCGGGUUCAACCUUGGCGACUUCUUCCCAUCGUCGUGGCUCGCCAACUUCAUCAGCGGCACGGCACGGCUGGCGGAGGAGAACCACCGCAAGAGCUACGAGCUCAUGGAGUACGCGAUCAAGCAACACGAGGAGCAGAGGGCCGCCGCCUCGGCGAACGGCGACGUGGAGGAAGGAGAGGACCUAGUGGGCGCGCUCUUGAGGAUCCGCAAGGAAGGUGGCCUCGACGUGCCUCUUACCAUGGGAAUGGUCAAAGGAGUCAUACUUGAUUUAUUUGGCGCUGGGAGCGAGACAUCAGCUACCACGCUUCAAUGGGCCAUGUCAGAGCUCAUGAGGAACCCAAAUGUAAUGCGGAAAGUACAAGCUAAAGUACGCGGAAACCUCCAAGAAAAGCAUAAAGUGACCGAGGAUGACUUGACCGAUCUCAAGUACCUCAAACUCGUCAUCAAGGAGACAAUGAGGUUGCAUCCAGCCGCACCAUUGCUUCUCCCUAGGGAGGCCAGUGAGCCUUGCAAAAUCCUCGGGUACGAUGUACCCAAAGGUACCACGGUGUUGGUGAAUGCGUGGGCGAUUGGCAGAGACCCAAGGCACUGGGAAGACUCCGAGGAGUUCAAACCAGAAAGGUUCGAUUCUGGCACGAUUGACUUCAAAGGCACAGACUUUGAAUACAUACCGUUUGGGGCGGACCGGAGGAUGUGCCCUGGAAUGACGUUUGCUCAAGCCAACAUGGAGAUCGUGCUCGCCGCACUGGUCUACCACUUCGAUUGGGAGCUCCCGAAUGGGGCGAAGCCUGAUGGGUUGGACAUGACAGAGAAGAUGGGAGUAACUGUUCGGCGGAAGAACGAUCUGCAUCUAUACCCUGUGGUCCGCGUGCCUCCGAUUUGA